AUUGAACGCUGGCGGCAGGCUUAACACAUGCAAGUCGAGCGAGCGGCGGACGGGUGAGUAAUGUCUGGGAAACUGCCUGAUGGAGGGGGAUAACUACUGGAAACGGUCGCUAAUACCGCAUACCAUCAGAUGUGCCCAGAUGGGAUUAGCUAGUAGGUGGGGUAAUGGCUCACCUAGGCAACGAUCCCUAGCUGGUCUGAAAGGAUGAUCAGCGACACUGUAAAUGAGACACGGUCCAGACUCCUACGGGAGGCAGCAGUGGGGAAUAUUGCACAAUGGGCGAAAGCCUGAUACAGCCAUGCCGCGUGUAUGAAGAAGGCCUUCGGGUUGGAAAGGACUUUCAGCGAGGAGGAGUUACUCGCAGAAGAAGCACCGGCUAACUCCGUGCCAGCAGCCGCGGUAAUAC
rnacentral:rRNA from 1 species